AUACGGAGGAUCCGAGCGUUAUCCGGAUUUAUUGGGUUUAAAGGGUGCGCAGGCGGGAGAUUAAGUCGGCGGUGAAAUUUUUCAGCUCAACUGUAAAAGUGCCUUCGAAACUGGUUUCCUUUAGUGUAGAUGAAGUAGGCGGAAUUUGUGGUGUAGCGGUGAAAUGCAUAGAUAUCACGAGGAACUCCGAUUGCGCAGGCAGCUUACUAAACUACUACUGACGCUCAGGCACGAAGGCGUGGGGAUCAAACAGGAUUAGAUACCCUGGUAGUCCACGCAGUAAACGAUGAGUACUAGCUGUUUGCGAUACAAUGUAAGCGGCUGAGCGAAAGCGUUAAGUAAUCCACCUGGGGAGUACGUUCGCAAGAAUGAAACUCAAAGGAAUUGACGGGG
rnacentral:rRNA from 1 species